rnacentral:sRNA from 1 species
CAGGAACUUCAAGACCAGUGCCAGUGCAUUCCAAACAAGGGAGAAGCAGGAUUACCAGGAGCUCCGGGUUCACCUGGGCAGAAAGGGCAGAAAGGAGAGCCGGGUGAAAAUGGUUUACAUGGUGCUCCAGGAUUACCUGGUCAAAAGGGAGAGCAAGGUUUUGAAGGCAGCAAAGGAGAAACUGGUGAAAAGAAGCUACUGGCAUGUGAACUUCUUUCACAAUCAAUGUAAAAGCAAUUCACUCUAUAGGAAUUGCUGAACAAGUGUGUCCUACCAGACCGAAAUAGCAGAAUUCCACUGCACAGAAAACAGAGGUGUUAGUGCAGCUGCUGUUCCAAGUGAAUGUUGUACAGUGACUAGCUGUUUUGUAAGUUAUUGUCUAGGCUUAUGGUGGUCUAUUGCUUCUUAGUCUAAUAUAUUAAAAAAAAAUCAUUGGUUUUUGUUUUCCUUGAUAAUCCUUACAAUCUCCUUUAAGAACCUCCCCAUCAAUGAUCUGUUCUAAUAUCAGUAAAGGAUCAAUGAAACAAGACAGAAAUCAAAU